AGCAUUCUAGAACAAAAGACAUAUCCUGAUUAGAUAUUGCUAUUAGGUUCUUACAUCCAACUUCAAGUGCGACUUAAGUUCCGACAUCCGACAUGCAUAACCAGUACCUAAAAGACUACAUAACAGCUCCACAUAUACAGGUACAUCCAGAAAACCAAACAAAAGACAUAGGAGGUGCUACAUAAUAGUCUUGCAGAUCCUUAUUUCUUCUCCUUCAGUUUCUCCAGGUCCUCCUACAGUUGUGCGAUAACAGUAAAUUCAAUAUAGCAUUCUUGAAGACCAUGUAUUCCAGGUUGACUAGAUGAUCCUUCAGUUUUGUGUUCUCUUGGACAUUCGCCUCAAAUCGGUCUUGCAGAAGACCCAUCUUCGUCCGCAUAUUGUAACCCACUGCAUAGACUUUGCCUCAAAUAGGAGUACUUAGCAAUGUCGCACAGCAACAGACAAAAUGAUCAACAAUUGUAAAGCAUAGAAAAUAGCUCGCCAUACAGUAAACCCUAAACCCUAAUCUCACCUCCAGGAAGAUGCGGGGUGUGGCGGGGGACUUUGCCAUGGUCUCCUUGGCACCCUUCACCUUGGCUGUCUUGGGGAGAAACCUGCCUGUCGCUUUGUCGUGGGCCUGGCCCUUAGCCAUGGCACGACGGCUGCGGCGUCUUCGGUGGCGGAUGCAGUGGCGGUGAAAGGGGAUGCGGCGUCGGCGGCGGCGGGUGGAGGGGAUGCGGCGUCGUCGGAGGCGAACGGGGAUGCGGCGGGGUGGAUGAGAUGAGGAAGAGACGAUGCGUCUAACCAGCUGACCCCUAGACACGGG
rnacentral:lncRNA from 1 species